rnacentral:rRNA from 1 species
ACGAGUGGCGGACGGGUGAGUAAUGCGUAAGAACUUGCCUCUCAGAGGGGGAUAACUUAGGGAAACUUAAGGUAAUACCGCAUAUGCCUACGGGUGAAAGCUGGGGAAACCUGGCGCUGAGAGAGAGGCUUACGUCAGAUUAGCUAGUUGGUGGGGUAAAGGCUUACCAAGGCAAAGAUCUGUAGCUGGUCUGAGAGGAUGAUCAGCCACACUGGGACUGAGACACGGCCCAGACUCC